GCACGGAAAUUAGCCGGUGCUUCUUCUGUGGGUAGCGUCACCGCUCAGGGGUAUUCGCCCUGCGCCUUUCCUCCCCACUGAAAGUGCUUUACAACCCGAAGGCCUUCUUCACACACGCGGCAUGGCUGCGUCAGGCUUUCGCCCAUUGCGCAAUAUUCCCCA
rnacentral:rRNA from 1 species